rnacentral:rRNA from 1 species
UACGUAGGGAGCAAGCGUUACUCGGAAUCACUGGGCAUAAAGGGCGUGUAGGCGGAUGCGUAAGUCCGGUGUGAAAUCCCUCGGCUCAACCGAGGAAGGCCAUCGGAUACUGCGUGUCUCGAGUGUGGAAGGGGAGAGUGGAACUCUUGGUGGAGCGGUGAAAUGCGUAGAUAUCAAGAGGAACGCCGGUUGCGAAAGCGGCUCUCUGGUCCAUAACUGACGCUGAGGCGCGAAAGCUAGGGGAGCAAACGGG